rnacentral:rRNA from 1 species
GCUUACACAUGCAAGUCGAACGGAAAGGCCCUGCUUUUGUGGGGUGCUCGAGUGGCGAACGGGUGAGUAACACGUGAGUAACCUGCCCUUGACUUUGGGAUAACUUCAGGAAACUGGGGCUAAUACCGGAUAGGAGCUCCUGCUGCAUGGUGGGGGUUGGAAAGUUUCGGCGGUUGGGGAUGGACUCGCGGCUUAUCAGCUUGUUGGUGGGGUAGUGGCUUACCAAGGCUUUGACGGGUAGCCGGCCUGAGAGGGUGACCGGCCACAUUGGGACUGAGAUACGGCCCAGACUCCUACGGGAGGCAGCAGUGGGGAAUAUUGCACAAUGGGCGGAAGCCUGAUGCAGCAACGCCGCGUGCGGGAUGACGGCCUUCGGGUUGUAAACCGCUUUCGCCUGUGACGAAGCGUGAGUGACGGUAAUGGGUAAAGAAGCACCGGCUAACUACGUGCCAGCAGCCGCGGUGAUACGUAGGGUGCGAGCGUUGUCCGGAUUUAUUGGGCGUAAAGGGCUCGUAGGUGGUUGAUCGCGUCGGAAGUGUAAUCUUGGGGCUUAACCCUGAGCGUGCUUUCGAUACGGGUUGACUUGAGGAAGGUAGGGGAGGAUGGAAUUUCCUGGGGGAGCGGUGGAAUGCGCAGAUAUCAGGAGGAACACCAGUGGCGAAGGCGGUUCUCUGGGCCUUUCCUGACGCUGAGGAGCGAAAGCGUGGGGAGCGAACAGGCUUAGAUACCCUGGUAGUCCACGCUGUAAACGGUGGGUACUAGGUGUGGGGUCCAUUCCACGGGUUCCGUGCCGUAGCUAACGCUUUAAGUACCCCGCCUGGGGAGUACGGCCGCAAGGCUAAAACUCAAAGGAAUUGACGGGGCCCCGCACAAGCGGCGGAGCAUGCGGAUUAAUUCGAUGCAACGCGUAGAACCUUACCUGGGUUUGACAUGGAUCGGGAGUGCUCAGAGAUGGGUGUGCCUCUUUUGGGGUCGGUUCACAGGUGGUGCAUGGCUGUCGUCAGCUCGUGUCGUGAGAUGUUGGGUUAAGUCCCGCAACGAGCGCAACCCUUGUUCACUGUUGCCAGCACGUUGUGGUGGGGACUCAGUGGAGACCGCCGGGGUCAACUCGGAGGAAGGUGGGGAUGACGUCAAGUCAUCAUGCCCCUUAUGUCCAGGGCUUCACGCAUGCUACAACGGCUGGUACAGAGAGUGGCGAGCCUGUGAGGGUGAGCGAAUCUCGGAAAGCCGGUCUCAGUUCGGAUUGGGGUCUGCAACUCGACCUCAUGAAGUCGGAGUCGCUAGUAAUCGCAGAUCAGCAACGCUGCGGUGAAUACGUUCCCGGGGCUUGUACACACCGCCCGUCAAGUCAUGAAAGUUGGUAACACCCGAAGCCGGUGGCCUAACCGUUGUGGGGGAGCCGUCGAAGGUGGGACUGGUGAUUAGGACUAAGUCAUAAC